rnacentral:tRNA from 1 species
GUCCUCGUAGCUCAAUCUGGAUAGAGCGACGGUUUUGCCGCUGGUCCAGGUUCGAAUCCUGGCGAGGACACCA